UGUCCGAGGACCCUGCGGCAACGGGGAAGAUGACGGAGGACACCACUCCUGUGGAGGCUUUGACUCUGAGGACAGGUGGCUGAGAAGGGGUCCUGGGGGUGACCCACGCCACAGGCCUCCCUCCCUGGAAUGAGGAAACCGCGCCGUGGUGUGUCACCUCCGGCCCCUGAGUCUGACCUCAUAUCUCGCCUGUAAGAUCCUGAGGGCUGGGAGGGUGAGAUUUCCCUCCCCUUACCCCUUUGGCAGACUCCUGGGUGGGGUAGUCCUGCUCCCUCCUCCUGUGUCAUUCUUCAGAAGCACAGAGGAACCCUGGGGAGUCUGAGGUUGGAAGGACACUCAGUGGGAUUUUGAGGCCGUCUGGGCUUUCAGUCUGCCCACUGCUGGCUCGGCCUCGUGUGGGCAGGGGGCUGCCUAGGCCAAAACUCCGCAGUGCUCACCACUUCGGGUCAGGACCACACACCCUGAGGUUGGGCUGUGCAGAGAGGGUCAGAGCGCUAAGAAAUGUGCCAAAAGGCUGUGGUCUUUAGCUCCAUUUUACAGAUGAGGAAACUGAGGCAUGACAGGCUGCUGUCAGACGUUCCCUGAAGCUCUUCCGUUUGUGGAGUCAGAAUCCUCUGUGGUAUUUUCAAGAUCCAGUGUCCCGAGACUCCUUGCAUGACACCCUUCCUCAGGGAGAAGGGUUCCACUGUGACCAUGGUGAGGACGGCCCUCUGCAGACUUGCUUCCGUCCCUGCUGGGUCUGUCUGAAGCCCUGCCUCCCUGCAGGAGCAGCUCGCAGGGGGUCACAGCUCCAAGCCCUGGCCCUGACUUUCCUCCCACAGCCCGUCUCGCCUAGCAUCCCAAUUGAGGAUGACUCAGCCACUGUCCCAGGCUCUCCUGAGCAGGAGGUGGUGACAACGGUGGGGGCAGGUAAAGGAGAAACAAAACAUGCCUGUGCCAAGGCUUGCACAUUGUCACGAUGGGCUCUUGUUUUUAGAAUUGACUUAAUUUUAAGAGCAAAUAAGCGAUGGCAUAAAUGAAAACCUAGCUCAAAGCAA